rnacentral:misc_RNA from 1 species
UCCUUGAUAAAUUUAAGCGUUUUAUAAGAGGAUGCCGGGGAAGGUUUUCCGGUUUAUCCCGGAGGGCUUGUAGCUCAGUUGGUUAGAGCGCGCGCUUGAUAAGCGUGAGGUCGGAGGUUCAAGUCCUCCCAGGCCCACCAGUUUAUCCAUUACUUUCAUAAGUGCUUUUAAAAAAUAAGUACUUCUAAAAAGAUUGCUUCUAAAAAGCUUAUCAAAAUUGGCAGGCUUAUUGCUUUUGUGUGAGUAAUCCAAAGUUAAAGCAAAUUAAUGGCAAAAAAACAGUUCAAAUGCUAAAUACUAAGGAGUCAAAAUUCCUUGCAAAGUGAUUUUUACAGCGUCCAUUUGGUUGAUAUAAAUUCCAAAUGCUCAUAGACGUCAAUGCCUAUAUGAAACUAUCGGUUCAAUCAUAUCGCUUUGAGUUAUAUAGAUUUUGUAAUCCCUCUUUUGAUCGUUUUAAACGCUUUAUUCUGAUUUAGGGGCCGUAGCUCAGCUGGGAGAGCACCUGCUUUGCAAGCAGGGGGUCGUCGG